UCCUACGGGAGGCAGCAGUGGGGAAUUUUGGACAAUGGGCGAAAGCCUGAUCCAGCAAUGCCGCGUGUGUGAUGAAGCCCUUCGGGGUGUAAAGCUCUUUCGACGGGAAAGAUUAUGACGGUACCCGGAGAAGAAGCUGCGGCUAACUACGUGCCAGCAGCCGCGGUA
rnacentral:rRNA from 1 species